CGUUGUCCGGAUUAUUGGGCGUAAAGGGCUUGUAGGCGGUUGGUCGCGUCUGCCGUGAAAUUCUCUGGCUUAACUGGGGGCGUGCGGUGGGUACGGGCUGACUUGAGUGCGGUAGGGGAGACUGGAACUCCUGGUGUAGCGGUGGAAUGCGCAGAUAUCAGGAAGAACACCGGUGGCGAAGGCGGGUCUCUGGGCCGUUACUGACGCUGAGGAGCGAAAGCGUGGGGAGCGAACAGGAUUAGAUACCCUGGUAGUCCACGCUGUAAACGUUGGGCACUAGGUGUGGGGGCCACCCGUGGUUUCUGCGCCGUAGCUAACGCUUUAAGUGCCCCGCCUGGGGAGUACGGCCGCAAGGCUAAAACUCAAAGGAAUUGACGGGGGCCCGCACAAGCGGCGGAGCAUGCGGAUUAAUUCGAUGCAACGCGAAGAACCUUACCAAGGCUUGACAUGCACGGCGGCACUGCAGAGAUGUGGUGGCAUUUGGUUGGUCGUGUGCAGGUGGUGCAUGGUUGUCGUCAGCUCGUGUCGUGA
rnacentral:rRNA from 1 species